ensembl:lncRNA
UCCAACACAGCGGUGGACGCACUGAGGUAUGGUGGUGAGGUCAAGGCCUAGCUAUAAUAACGUAAACACAUGAAUUAUUAUUAUUAUCAUCAUCCUGCUAUUAUUUGUAUUCUUAUUAAUGCAUUAUUUGUAAUGUUUUAUCUUAAUGUAAAUGGUUGCCAUAAAUGUUACAUUUGAUCUCUUUUUCAAUUCAUAGAUUUGCAGAAACUUGAUGCGUAAUUGUUCCUUUUACGCAUCUCAUUACGCGCGGUGCCAAAAAGUGCUCCAGUUGCAGAGGGGUUAUUUUUAACUUCAUUAAUUCACAUGCAGGCGUAAACAGGUUCAAGGCUCGAUUGUUGUUACAACUUUACAGGCUAUGAUUUGGUUUUGUGAGUGUGUGUGUGUUUGUGUGUGUGUGUGUGAGAGAGAGAGAGAGAGAGCGUGUGUGUGUGUGCGCGUAAUCCUUGUUGCCCUCAGGACAGGCAGCGGUCAGCAGCUGUUUGACGCAUGCAUGGAGCCUCCACCAGCAGAGUCCCAGCCGUGGCGGGAGGAGACUUUACGGUAAAUCCGUGCAUCCAGGUUCGGUGCGUAGCGUGAAGGACGACGAGGUAAUUUUUUUUUUAGAUUUCUAUUAACGAAAAAUGCAUUAAUUCAAAAGGGGAAUGUCGUAUCCUAUGGAAUUCUGUCAAUUUUGUUUUAUUUACUUUGUAUAAUAAGACUGGAGUUGCAAUCUAGGCCCUGUUCUUACGUGAAAAAUUGGCAAC